UGAAAAGCAGAGAAAGCCAGGCUGUGU
rnacentral:piRNA from 1 species